GGUCUACUUGUCUUCUUGCCCUAUUCCCGCCUCUUCACGGGAAGGUCCAUUUAACCGAUUGGAAGAGACGGUAAAACCCUUGUCUGAACUCCAGGCACUGA